UACGUAGGUGGCAAGCGUUAUCCGGAUUUAUUGGGCGUAAAGGGAACGCAGGCGGUCUUUUAAGUCUGAUGUGAAAGCCUUCGGCUUAACCGAAGUAGUGCAUUGGAAACUGGGAGACUUGAGUGCAGAAGAGGAGAGUGGAACUCCAUGUGUAGCGGUGAAAUGCGUAGAUAUAUGGAAGAACACCAGUGGCGAAAGCGGCUCUCUGGUCUGUAACUGACGCUGAGGUUCGAAAGCGUGGGUAGCAAACAGG
rnacentral:rRNA from 1 species